GAUUUUUUCCUUGAAGAUGAGACUAGAUAAACCCUAGAGUAUAUAGAUUCUACAAUAGUCACCCACCGUUGGCGACCACCUCCGUUCUGGCCAUGUCUUCACUGUAUCCAUAUUCAACCCCCGUCACUAGUAAAAGAACUAAAACUCAGAGAGAAGAUGCAUUGCCUAGAUACAAGUAUCUCAUUCUCAGAUCUCCCAUCAAGUCUCUUGGAAGUAAUAAUGUCUCGUCUUGUCUUAAAAGACAACAUAUGUGCAUCAGCUGUUUGCAAGUCAUGGUGUGAAGCUGCAGUGUCUGUUCGUGUAGUGGAAAAGCAUCCGUGGCUUAUGUGCUUUGAUAUAAACGUUGUAGUUUGUUUGAAAUCUGUUGGAUAAGCUUCAAAGAUAGCUUAGGAAACAAGUUAUUCAUAAAAGGAAGUUUGAAUAACUAAAAAGGAAAAACUUGAUUUAGAUUUAUGUUAAGUUUCUAGAUCACAUUGUAAUAGGUUAAGCUAAGACCCUAUAUAUAGAGAUCUAUAUUGUAAGAUGAUCUCAAGAAGUUAAGAGUUUAAUAAAACGAAGAAACUGUUUUAUUAACAA